AAAUGUAACAAGGUCUCCGUUGGUGAACCAGCGGA
rnacentral:rRNA from 1 species